rnacentral:rRNA from 1 species
GACAGAGGGUGCAAACGUUGUUCGGAAUUACUGGGCGUAAAGGGCGCGUAGGCGGCAGAUCAAGUCAGUUGUGAAAUCUCUGAGCUUAACUCAGAACUGUCAACUGAUACUGCUCUGCUAGAGUGCGGAAGGGGCAAUCGGAAUCUUGGUGUAGCGGUGAAAUGCGCAGAUAUCAGGAGGAACACCGGUGGCGAAGGCGGGUCUCUGGGCCGAUACUGACGCUGAGGAGCGAAAGCAUGGGUAGCGAACAGG